UUAUAUGAGAGUUUGAUCCUGGCUCAGGACGAACGCUGGCGGCGUGCCUAAUACAUGCAAGUCGAACGCUUUUUCUUUCACCGGAGCUUGCUCCACCGAAAGAAAAGGAGUGGCGAACGGGUGAGUAACACGUGGGUAACCUGCCCAUCAGAAGGGGAUAACACUUGGAAACAGGUGCUAAUACCGUAUAACAAUAGAAACCGCAUGGUUUCUAUUUGAAAGGCGCUUUUGCGUCACUGAUGGAUGGACCCGCGGUGCAUUAGCUAGUUG
rnacentral:rRNA from 1 species